GCAGGAUAGAGCAGCAGGUAGCUCGCAAGCCCAACGGGUUUGAGGUCGGGGGUUCGACUCCCCCUCCUGCCCCA
rnacentral:tRNA from 2 species